UGAAUGUGCAAAGUAAGUACC
ensembl:piRNA 21ur-591 ncRNA